GGGGAUGCCAGGCAUAGACAGUAGGCCUUUUGUCAUUGAUGCAUGCCGAGCAUGAGCGUAAUCUCGUAAAAAUUCGCUUAAAUGUUAAUUGCAAAAUUGACUUCUAAAGUUAAAGCAUUCGCUUCUCCUUACUUCGGUAUGGGGGACUUUGCUUUCGCUCAGGUUUCCGCUUCGGCGUAAGCCUGUGUUCUACAUAAGGACUUCCGAUACUUAUGGGGCUAAAUCCGCAUUUGGCGGAUCGCCCGAACUUUUUACUUUGUAAAAAGUUUUAGGGCAUAAUAUUAUCGGGAUAGCUCCGACGAUCGUUCCGAUGUCGGAGCAAAACAAAGGAACUCGAUUGAAAAAUAUUUGGCUCGUUUCUUAAUUUUUUAAUUUAAAACAAAAAGCGCGCUAAGCAUGUAGAUUUCUUUACAAAAACCUUCUGCACGGGGAUUCAAUUUCCCCCAUCUCCACAA
rnacentral:tmRNA from 1 species